GGAGUUUGGACCGUGUCUCAGUUCCAAUGUGGGGGACCUUCCUCUCAGAACCCCUACUGAUCGUCGCCUUGGUGGGCCGUUACCCCGCCAACAAGCUAAUCAGACGCAUCCCCAUCCAUUACCGUUGAAAACUUUGGUCUCGCUUAGAUGUCUGCACGAGACCGCAUCAGGGAUUAAUCCAGUUUUCACUGGGCUAUACCUGAGUAAUGGGAAGGUUGGAUACGCGUUACUCACCCAUGCGCCGGUCGCCAUCAAUCAAAGCAAGCUUCGAUUAUGCUGCCCCUCGACUUGCAUGUGUUAAGCCUGUAGCUAGCGUUCAUC
rnacentral:rRNA from 1 species